ensembl:lincRNA
AUGGGCUCGGGGUGGCGGCGGGGGGCGCGGCGGUACGGUCUCGUGCGGGCAGCGCUCGCCGAGUCUGCGAGCGCCCGGCGGCUCCCCUUGGCAGCCGGCGAAUGCGGUGCAGCGGGAGCCCUGCUCGCGCCCGGAGCCCUGCCCGCGCGACUGAGCAUGCCCAGAGCUCCGGGCUCCUGCCCGCGCGCAGCCCGCGCGCCCACUCGGCGCUCUCGGGUUUGCAGGCGGCCCGUCGCACGAAGUCGGAGUGAAGGCGGCGGCCGAGGAAGCGGGGAGCUCGAGAGGGUGAAAAUGGUGCUUCCAGCUCCCAUCUGCUUGGUCCUGCUUGGGAGAGAGUCCUGUGGGCUGCCCUAAUCACAUUUCCUGGAAGAGUUCACAAAGAUCUGAUUUGGAAAUUUCCAGAAAUGACUAUGUCCAUCUUAACAAAUACUGGAAUCUAAGAAGAUAAUACGUACUUGUCACAUUGUUCUAAAGCAGACAUUCAAUUACAUUCAAAGAGCACAUGUCUGCUCUCACAGGGACAACUAUGAGCAAUUAACAGAGAAAAUAGACUACAUAACAAACUUCAAAAUCUCUAAUCGACACAGAAGUUCCCCAAAGCUCCCCCUCCCCACUGCUCACACAGUCAGCCACCCCUCUCCCUAUGCGGCAUCUCCCAGCCUAGGUCUAAACUGCUCCCUCUGCAACCCAGAUGUAUUCACAAUGGAGCUCAUUCUUCCAGAUUCUCCCUAAGCGUCUAAUUAAACCUAAUAAAUCUAUUUGCACUAUGAUUUUAGUAGAUGAAAAUAACUGUAAUCAAUUCAGUACCUUUCACUGAAUGACUGUGUGCUAAGCACUGUGGUUAACAAUAUGCUUUAGAAACAGUUUCUCUAUUCAUUUAAAAAAUCGGGAAAAAUUGGGAAGCCCUACAAUAAGGGAGCAGUUAAAUAAAUCAUGUUACAUCCAUACCUGUUGGGUACUCUGUAGCCACUCAAAAGAAUGCUUUCAAUGGGUGUCAACCAAACUUACUGUGGUAAUCAUUUGACAAUAUAUACACUUUACACCUAUACACUGCAGUACGUCAAUUAUAUUAAUAAAAUUUAAAAAAAAGGAAAACAAUGCUUUGGUAUGACCUGUUUUAGUUUUUAAAUUUGCAUAGAAGGGACUUCCCUGGUGGUCCAGUAGUUAGGAGUCCACCUGUCAAGGCGAGGACGUGGGUUCGAUCCCUGGUCAGGGAACUGAGAUCGCACAUUGCCGCAGGGCAACAAAGCCUGUGCACCUCAACUAGAGAGAAGCCCACAUGCCACAGGGAAGCUCCUAUAUGACACAACCAAGACCCAACCCAGCCAAAAAAUAAUAUUUAAAAAAAAUGCAUAAGGAAGACAAUAAAAUAUAAUAGUAACUUUGCCUAUCUUUAAGAAGAGGGCUUAUAUAUGAUUUUUAUAUUCUUCAAACUUCUACGCACUUUCCAAUUUUCUUCAAGAAACAUAUACCGUGUUAUAAUCAGAAAAUAAACAAUAUACAGUUUAACCAGAAGACAAUAAAUUACUCUCUGCAAGAGUUAUCAGUUUAGUCCAAAUGACACUCAGUUCAGUUCAGUUCAGUCGCUCAGUUGUGUCCGACUCUUUGCAACCCCAUGAACUGCAGCAUGCCAGGCCUCUCUGUCCAUCACCACCUCCUGGAGUUCACUCAGACUCGCAUGCAUUGAGUCAGUGAUGCCAUCCAGCCAUCUCAUCCUCUGUCAUCCCCUUCUCCUCCUGCCCUCAAUCCCUCCCAGCAUCAGAG